rnacentral:rRNA from 1 species
UACGGAGGAUGCGAGCGUUAUCCGGAUUUAUUGGGUUUAAAGGGUGCGUAGGCGGGCUUUUAAGUCAGCGGUAAAAAUUCGGGGCUCAACCCCGUCCGGCCGUUGAAACUGGGGGCCUUGAGUGGGCGAGAAGAAGGCGGAAUGCGUGGUGUAGCGGUGAAAUGCAUAGAUAUCACGCAGAACCCCGAUUGCGAAGGCAGCAUGCCGGCUUCCUACUGACGCUGAAGCACGAAAGCGUGGGGAUCGAACAGG